rnacentral:rRNA from 1 species
UACACACCCGCCCGUCACCACCACGGGAAGCGUAAGCCAACAACCCGAAGCCGUGUCGGACCCUAACCCGACGAAGGGGGAGGGACGCCAGGUCGAAGGUGGGUCUCGUGACUGGGGUG